GCUGCCUUGUGGCCUUGCAGGAUAUAUUGCAUGUUGUCCCUGUAGCUGGUGGUCAAAUGGGUCCUGCCACAUCUGACAAAAAUGGGCUGGUGGUGCAAAAUGUGGAAGAUGUUUUUUCCAGGAGGCUUUGUUAGGUCGUGUUUAAUGUUGUGGUCUUUUGUUCUCAUGCAGGGCUGAAGUCCAUCAGGUGGUACAGACUCUGGCCCAGAGUGAUGACAUGCCCUUGGAAACCUCUCAUUCCCCUCUAUCAUGACAGCCAGGUCAGUAAAACUCCUUGGCUUCCAAGCUGAAGGAGCUGAUGUCGCUGGAGGCAGUGCUGAGUGUGCCAUGGUUAUGUACCUUCCAUCAGGAACUGAGGUGUUGAGGAAGUGUUUGAAGUACAUGCUACACACAAAACUGUGCCUCUGCCCAGGACCAAGGUGGGUUGUGAAUCGUGCCAGGGUACACAGUCACUGGGCAAGGA